UUUCCGUAGGUGAACCUGCGGAAGGAUCAUUAUCGUACAAAAUGUGAGGGGCAUGCGAGGGCUGUCGCUGAACCAAAAGUCGUGCACGCCCGAGUGUGUCCUCUUGCAUAAUAAUCCAUCUCACCCUUUGUGCAUCACCGCGUGGGCACCCUUCGGGAUCAUCUCGGAGGGGGGCUCGCGUUUUCACACAAACCCCCCUUUUAAAAGUGUAGAAUGACCACAUUUAUGCAAUCAAUACAACUUUCAACAACGGAUCUCUUGGCUCUC
rnacentral:misc_RNA from 1 species